rnacentral:misc_RNA from 1 species
GAUGAAGAACGCAGCGAAAUGCGAUAAGUAGUGUGAAUUGCAGAAUUCAGUGAAUCAUCGAAUCUUUGAACGCACAUUGCGCCCCUUGGUAUUCCAUGGGGCAUGCCUGUUCGAGCGUCAUUUGUACCUUCAAGCUUUGCUUGGUGUUGGGUGUUUGUCUCGCCUUUGCGUGUAGACUCGCCUUAAAAUAAUUGGCAGCCGGCGUAUUGAUUUCGGAGCGCAGUACAUCUCGCGCUUUGCACUCAUAACGACAGCGUCCAAAAGUACAUUUUACACUCUUGACGUCGGAUCAGGUAGGGAUACCCGCUGAACUUAAGCAUAUCAAUAAGCGGAGGA